rnacentral:lncRNA from 1 species
CCUCGGCCCACGGCGGCAGCGUGUGACGGGGCCGCUCCCGGACAGUCCCGGGGAGCUGGUGGGAGGACCACCCGACGCCGCAGGAAGUGGAUCCGGUCAGCAAGACGCGUGACACGUCCCGCCCACAGGCCAUUCAAAUGGGAACAGACGGGUAAGGCGCAGGCAGCUCACGCAGGUAACUCAAGUCACCACCCCCAGGACGCACACCCGUGGAUAACCUGCCAGGCCAAAAACAAGGAAAAACAACUGAAGUUACAUGGGGAUCUGGAAUUAGAACAGCCUGCCUCAAAAUUGAACAGAAGGUGUUUUCAGAUCGUCCCCAAGCCAGCAGCCAGUAGAGAGUUCUCUGCUAAACUGAGUUCAGGGCGAGGCAGUGUGGACCAGAGACCCAGCAGGAGAGGAGAGUCUAAUGAAACACUUUCCUGGCGGAGUUUCCAUUCUGACACGUUGCCCUGGGAGGCUGAUGGAGGCCGGGGCGUCUGUAGCGGGCUGAUCUUCGGCCGGGGGCUGGGAGGAGUCUGUCCCUGUGGGUUCACAGGAGCCCCUCAAUUGUGCAUUCAAGGGCAGAGGGUGGUACUCGGGAGAUCUUUGAGGGUCCACAGGGCACCAGGCUGCUGGCAAGGUCGGAGAUGUGGGGUUUGGAGGGGGCUGUGCAGACGGAGCUGUUUUCUAGAUAAUGGCCUCUCUGCUGUGUGCUGCCCCACUGAGCCCACUGCAAUCGGGGUCCAGGUCUGGGAUCCCGGGGAGUCCCAGCAUUCUGGGUCUCUCCAGGGAACCGAGGCAGCAGCCGCCUUCCCCCUGUGCUGCCUGGGCCACUGUCUGUGGGAUGACAGCCCUUCCUCUGAAGCCAGAGAUGCAGCGCGUCCUGACUGCAAGGGCACUGCUCCCCACGUGCUCACCAGCAAACCCUGGGCAGCUGUGAGCUGGCUCCCUGCAGGCUCUGGGGGAGCAGGACCAGGACAGGGGCUCCCAGGGUCCACAGAGGGGACGGAGCCUUGUGGUCCUCAGAGCAAGCAUGCCUGGCCCCUGUGAGGGCUGUACCCGCCCGCGAGUGUCCUUGUGCCCCAAGCGCCCGUUUCCAUGCCUGGGGGACCCUCCUCCUCCCACUUCGCCUGGGGCCGCCUCCUCCUGUUGUCUCUGUGGCCGCCUCCAGGCACCUCUAGGGAGCCGUGAAAUGUGACCUGUGUCAUUUUGGUGAUUUCCCAUAGGAGUUAAAUGUUCAUAUUUGCGUUUAAACCAUUGUUGUAAAUAUAAAUACGAAUGGUAAAGUUCAUGCAAACAACUUAAACAUGUAACUUUUGUUUAUCUAGAACAUUAAAGAGCAAAUGAAAAGCCCACGACAAGUCUGGAGAAACCACAGAAGUGGAAAGAGGAUCAUACCUGGGCGCCUGUCACAGCCCUUUUUCCUGGGUUUGAACAGGGGGCUCUGCAUUCCCAUCUUGCACUGGGCCCUGCAGAUCAUGCCUCGGCUCCCAGUCUGAGAGCCCCCGUGGGGGCCUGUGUCCCUGUCCCUGGGCUCAUCUUCACCCCAGGCCUGGGCCGGGCUCCCUGAGGGGGUCAGCCAGUCCAUACUUGAAUCGUGUCCCUGGAGACCCCACUGCUCUGAGACUGCUCUGCUGGCCGUGCUGGGGCCUCCUCCAGGUUGCUGGGAAUAGCUCUGCUCUUUGGAGCUGGUGUGACCCCCAGGGAGGCCGAGGGGCCUGAGGGUGGGGGUGACUGGGGGUUCCUGGAACAUGGGGCUGGGGGCCAGUCCUCCAUGGGGCCCCUAGACAGGGGGCUCCUGCAGGAGGUUGGGGGGCCCUUGGGGCCCCUGACCAGGCUGCCCCACUCCUGCCAAGAACACCCCAUUGUCUGAGGGCCCUGGGAGUCAAGGGCAGCGCUGAGCCCAGGUCU